rnacentral:lncRNA from 1 species
AUGGAAGGAAGGAAGGAAGGAAGGAAGAAGGAAGGAAGGAGAGAGGGAAGGAGGGAGGAAGGAGGGAGGAAGGGAGGGGGAGGAAGGAAGGCAGGAAGGGAAGGAGGGAGGAAGGAAAGGGGCAGAAGAAAGGAAGGGAGGAAAGGAGGGAGGGAGGAAGGGAGGGGGAGGAAGGAAGGAAGGAGGGAGGAAGGAAGGAAGGAAGGAAGGAGGGAGAGAGGAAAGGAGGGGGGAAGGGAGGGGGAGGAAGGAAGGGAGGAAAGGAGGGAGGGAGGAAGGAAGGAAGGAAGGAAGGAAGGAAGGAAGGAAGGAAAGGGGCAGAAGAAAGGAAGGGAGGAAAGGAGGGAGGGAGGAAGGAAGGGAGAGGAAGGAAGGAAGGGAAGGAGGGAGAGAGGAAAGGAGGGAGGAAGGAGGGAGGAAGGAAGGAAGGAGGGAGAGAGGAAAGGAGGGAGGAAGGAGGGAGAGAGGAAAGGAGGGAGGAAGGAAGGAAGGAGGGAGAGAGGGAAGGAGGGAGGAAGGAAAGGGGAGGAAGGAAGGGAGAGGAAGGAAGGAAGGAAGGAAGGGAGGAAGGAAGGAAGGAAGGAAGGAGGGAGGAAGGAAGGAAGGAAGGAAGGAAGGAGGGAGGAAGGAAAGGGGCAGAAGAAAGGAAGGGAGGAAAGGAGGGAGGGAGGAAGGAAGGAGGGGGAGGAAGGAAGGCAGGAAGGGAAGGAGGGGAGGAAGGAAGGAAGGAGGGAGGAAGGGAGGGGGAGGAAGGAAGGAAGGAGGAAGGAAGGCAGGAAGGGAAGGAGGGAGGAAGGAAAGGGGAGGAAGGAAGGAAGGAGGGAGAGAGGAAAGGAGGGAGGGAGGAAGGAAGGGAGAGGAAGGAAGGAAGGGAAGGAGGGAGAGAGGAAAGGAGGGAGGAAGGGAGGGGGAGGAAGGAAGGAAGGUAGGAAGGGAAGGAGGGAGAGAGGGAAGGAGGGAGGAAGGAAGGGGAGGAAGGAAGGGAGAGGAAGGAAGGCAGGAAGGGAAGGAGGGAGAGAGGAAAGGAGGGGGGAAGGGAGGGGGAGGAAGGAAGGAAGGAAGGAAGGGAAGGAGGGAGGAAGGAAAGGGGAGGAAGAAAGGAAGGGAGGAAGGAAGGAAGGAGGAAGGAAGGAGGAAGGAAGGGAGGAAGGAAGGAAGGGAAGGAGGGAGAGAGGAAAGGAGGGAGGAAGGGAGGGGGAGGAAGGAAGGAAGGUAGGAAGGGAAGGAGGGAGAGAGGGAAGGAGGGAGGAAGGAAGGGGAGGAAGGAAGGGAGAGGAAGGAAGGAAAGAAGGGAAGGAGGGAGAGAGGAAAGGAGGGAGGAAGGAAGGAAGGAGGGAGGAAGGAAGGAAGGGAGGCAGGCAGGCACCAUGA